rnacentral:rRNA from 1 species
GCUAACUACGUGCGAGCAGCGGGGGUAAUACGGAGGGGGCAAGCGUUAUCCGGAAUGAUGGGGCGUAAAGGGUGCGUAGGCGGGUUUAUAAGUCUGAUGUGAAAGCCCACGGCUCAACCGUGGAGGGUCAUUGGAAACUGGAGAACUUGAGUGCAGAAGAGGAAAGUGGAAUUCCAUGUGUAGCGGUGAAAUGCGCAGAGAUAUGGAGGAACACCAGUGGCGAAGGCGACUUUCUGGUCUGCAACUGACGCUGAUGUACGAAAGCGUGGGGAUCAAACAGGAUUAGAUACCCCAGUAGUC